AAUUGAAAAUGUUAUCUUUUCCAUUAUUGGAAACCUUGGCCACUUCAAGCAAGUUGAAGGCAGAACACUCCAAGCAUGAUGGAAUCCUUUCUCUUGUCCGGCAGCAUUCGUGGAUGCUGGCGAGAUGACCAUCAAGGCUGAAGUAUGGCAACACUGUGCUGUUUGAGAGUAAACGGAGAAACAAGUUGCAAUUGAAAAUGUUAUCUUUUCCAUUAUUGGAAGCCUUGGCCACUUCAAGCAAGUUGAAGGCAGAACACUCCAAGCAUGAUGGAAUCCUUUCUCUUGUCCGGCAGCAUUCGUGGAUGGUGGGUACCAAGAAAACAUAUUAGGAUGAUAGUCCAGUUUGGUUUGCUAGGUUUCACCAGAGUUAUGAGCUUUUAUUCUAACUCUUGGCU